AUGGUCGUCUUGGUGACUUGGACAAUUUGGAAUGAGCGCAACAGUAGAGUAUUUGAUAACAAAGCUAGCUCCAUUGAUCGUAUCUUGGACAAAAUCAAAGGCGACGCACUCAACUGGUCUAAAGCGGGCGCUAAAUGCCUGAGGUCGUUGUUCUCCUAGGAUCGCUUGCCUUUUGCCUUUUUGUUGAUGUUGGGUCGUCUUUGUACUCUAAGACUUUGUAUCUCUUUUCUUCUAUAUUGUCACAUGCAGUUCUCCUGCAUGGUUCGAAAAAAAAGCUUACCGGAAGGUACGCCGAAAACUCACUUGUCUGGAUUGAGCUUAAUGUUAAACGCACACAGAUUUUCGAAGGUCUCGCGUAGAUCGUCUAUGAGGGUGUCAGCUUCUUGGUCUUGA
rnacentral:rRNA from 1 species